CUACAAAGGAAUUGACGGGGGCCCGCACAAGCGGUGGAGCAUGUGGUUUAAUUCGAUGAUACGCGAGGAACCUUACCUGGGCUCAAAUGUAUGUUGACGUAUUCUGAAAGGGAUACUUCUUCGGACAAUAUACAAGGUGCUGCAUGGUUGUCGUCAGCUCGUGCCGUGAGGUGUCGGGUUAAGUCCCAUAACGAGCGCAACCCCUAUCAUUAGUUGCCAUCAGGUCAAGCUGGGGACUCUAAUGAAACUGCCUACGCAAGUAGUGAGGAAGGUGGGGAUGACGUCAAAUCAGCACGGCCCUUACGUCCAGGACUACACACGUGCUACAAUGGCCGAUACAGAGGGCAGCUACCUGGUGACAGGAUGCAAAUCUCCAAAGUCGGUCUCAGUUCGGAUCGGAGUCUGCAACCCGACUCCGUGAAGUUGGAUUCGCUAGUAAUCGCGCAUCAGCCAUGGCGCGGUGAAUACGUUCCCGGGCCUU
rnacentral:rRNA from 1 species